rnacentral:tRNA from 1 species
ACGCCCGUAGCUCAACACGGACAGAGCAGCGGUCUUCUAAACCGCAGGUUCCAGGUUCGAGUCCUGGCGGGCGUG